GUCCCUGUAGCCCAAUGGAUAGGGUACCGGCCUCCGAAGCCGUGGAUGCGGGUUCGAAUCCCGCCAGGGACA
rnacentral:tRNA from 1 species